rnacentral:sRNA from 1 species
UAACUUAACUGGUAUUUGAAAAAUAUUAGCCACUUUUAUCGAAUGGAUACAAUUCAUGUAAUUUAAUUUGAUAAGUCAGAAGUACAACGACUAUGUAUAAUUGUGUUUAAGAGUUUCACACAACAAUCAUUUUGAUGUCCUUUAGAAUGUACGUACACAUCUUGCUCUGAAACCUCAUGACAGGAUUUUUGAAGUGGCUAUUAUGCACACUUUAUUUAAGUAUUUAUUUUGAAUAGGAUGUAAAUGCAAUGUCCUUAUGAUUUAUAGAUUUAAAAAAAAAUGAAGCUUGGAGAGGUAAACUCGUGCAAUAAUUUUAACCCACACUCGUCUUAAAAAUGAAUGUAAACCAUAUUUAUUCAUCACCCCCAUACAGCAUUACAUCUACAAAACAGCUCCGGGUGGGAGGGGGUGUUUAUGAUGAAAUCAUGAUCGGUCAAAUAAGUUCAAACAGGCAAAUUAAAGAAAGACACAAUACAAUGACAUAUAAUUAGCGAAAUAGGAAAGUUUAUAUAAAACAGAGAAAAUACAAUUUUAUUAUGUCUAUCUAUUGAGUUAAUAUUUAGUCUAUUGAGGAAAAUUUACGAUUAAUUUUGCAAAAAAGUAGCUUAUUAAGUUUACAUACAAGACAUUUCGCUUAACUUAAAUUUUGGCAAUGUAGUUUAUUAUGUAUUUUUUUUUUAUAACAAAGUUGUUACUGUUAUCGAUCAUUCAAAAAGGACAGUUGAUUUUUACAUUAAAUUUUCACCAG